rnacentral:rRNA from 1 species
AGUAAAUAGAUACCCCGGUAGUCCACGCCGUAAACGAUGAGUACUAGGUGUAGGAGGUAUCGACUCCUUCUGUGCCGCAGUUAAACACAAUAAGUACUCCGCCUGGGAAGUACGGUCGCAAGAUUAAAACUCAAAGGAAUUGACGGGGGCCCGCACAAGCAGCGGAGCAUGUGGUUUAAAUUCGAAGCAACGCGAAGAACCUUACCUAGACUUGACAUCUCCUGAAUAGUGUAGAGAUACAUGAAGCCCUUCGGGGCAGGAAGACAGGUGGUGCAUGGUUGUCGUCAGCUCGUGUCGUGAGAUGUU